AGUAAUAUGUCUGAAUAUUAAAGUAAUAAAUUGUAAAUUUAUUUAUAGAGUUUAACUCUUAUUACUA
rnacentral:tRNA from 1 species